rnacentral:tRNA from 1 species
GGGCCGGUAGCUCAUUUGGUAGAGCGCUGCAUUUGCACUGCAGAGGUGGGGAGUCCGAAUCUCCUCCGGUCCA